AGCGAACGCUGGCGGCAGGCUUAACACAUGCAAGUCGAGGGGAGCGGCAGACGGGUGAGUAACGCGUGGGAACGUACCCUUUGGUUCGGAACCACACAGUGAAACUUGUGCUAAUACCGGAUACGGAAAGAUCGGGCAGCGUCUGAUUUGCUAGUUGGUAGGGUAAUGGCCUACCAAGGCGACGAUCAGUAGCUGGUCUGAGAGGAUGAUCAGCCACAUUGGGACUGAGGCACGGCCCAAACUGCUACGGAAGGGAGCAGUGGGGAAUAUUGGACAAUGGGGGCAAACCUGAUCAAGCCAUGCCGCGUAAGUGAUGAAGGCCGUAGGGUUGUAAAGCUCUUUUGUGCGGGAAGCGGUACCGCAAGAAUAAGCCCCGGCUAACUACGUGCCAGCAGCCGCGGUAAUUC
rnacentral:rRNA from 1 species